CCUUUCCUUUCAAAACAAAACAAAACAAACAAACAAAAACCAACUAAACAAUGGUCCAUUUGCUGGGACCAUAGAUAGCAUUUCUCCAUACCAGAAUCAAAUAAUUUUACCUUUUGAGUUGCUUAUAAUUAGUCUUUCAUUAUUUUUUUAUGUUUCUUAUAGAUCAAAUUUUCUGCUAAGUUCUGGGGUUUUCCCCAAGAAUCUUUGAAACUUCUUCAGUGUGUUAACUGUCAAAUUUGUUUUUUAUAUUUAUACUCAUCUUUACUGGAUAUGUUAUUCUUGAUUUUAAGUCCAGUAACUUUGCUCUACAAAAUGCCUUGUUUCGUGUCCUAUGGUCUUUUAUUUUUGUGUCUGUUAAGUCUUAUGUUAUUCUGACUUACUUGACAGUGGUUUUUUUUUUCUUGUUGCUCAUAGUAUUUUCUUCUUAACCUUGAACCUAAGGAACUUAGUGGUGAUAUUCCUGUUCUAUUCCCAUUUUACCCCAUGAUUCUAGAAUUUCUGAACAGUUUACUUUGAUGAUUUCUUGGAGUAUGAUGGCUAAACUCUUCUUUUGGUCAAAAUUUUCUGGGAGACCAACUAUUCUCACAUUGCUUCUCUGUGAUCUAUUUUCAGAACCAACCAAUACACAGUGCUGAAUCAGAGACAGAAGAUGGAAGUUUUUUGAAGGAGUAUGUUGUGAUGACUGAGGGUCAAAAUGAUGAACAAGAUCAGUCUAGGAAAGAACUGAUUCAGCUCUAAAAACUUGGAAGUGUAAUAACAGAGGGUCAGAGAGCUGCUCUUUUCUCCCAUAUUUUCUUUGUGAGGAAUUUGGCAACAACUUAAGGUAUGAUGACUAAUUAUCUGGGAACUAAUAGUCAAAAAAGAAAAAGCCAGAAAACUGAGGGAGGAUUCUAGUUGCUGCUAAGCGAUAAAGGGAGUUGAAAAGAAAUGAUGAUGGAAGGUUGACUUUUAAAUAUACCAAGGAAACAUAUUUAUUGAGGUCUUCCUGAUUUCCUUUCACUUUUCAGUAAAAAAAAAAAAAGUUAGUCUAAAAAUCAACAUUUCAUCUUUCCACUUUGCUAAACUAAGAAAUCUCCUUCUUUCUCCAACUAUUCACUAUUACUGACAAAUAUUUACUAGUAAUAAUCCAACAUUGCAAC
rnacentral:lncRNA from 1 species